GAUGAACGCUAGCUACAGGCUUAACACAUGCAAGUCGAGGGGUAGCAGGGUAGCAAUACCGCUGACGACCGGCGCACGGGUGAGUAACACGUAUCCAACCUUCCCAUAACUCGGGGAUAGCCUUUCGAAAGAAAGAUUAAUACCCGAUAGUACUUAAGAAAGGCAUCUUUUUUAAGUUAAAGAUUUAUUGGUUAUGGAUGGGGAUGCGUUCCAUUAGAUAGUUGGUGAGGUAACGGCUCACCAAGUCUUCGAUGGAUAGGGGUUCUGAGAGGAAGGUCCCACACAUUGGUACUGAGACACGGACCAAACUCCUACGGGAGGCAGCAGUGAGGAAUAUUGGUCAAUGGGCGAGAGCCUGAACCAGCCAAGCAGCGUGAAGGAUGAAGGUCCUAUGGAUUGUAAACUUCUUUUAUAGUAGAAUAAAGUGACCCACGUGUGGAUUUUUGUAUGUAUACUAUGAAUAAGGAUCGGCUAACUCCGUGCCAGCCGCCGCCGUAA
rnacentral:rRNA from 1 species